rnacentral:rRNA from 1 species
UACGUAGGGGGCAAGCGUUGUCCGGAUUUAUUGGGCGUAAAGAGCUCGUAGGCGGCUUGGCAAGUCGGGUGUGAAAACUCCAGGCUUAACCUGGAGAUGCCACUCGAGACUGCUAUGGCUAGAGUCCGGUAGGGGACCACGGAAUUCCUGGUGUAGCGGUGAAAUGCGCAGAUAUCAGGAGGAACACCGGUGGCGAAGGCGGUGGUCUGGGCCGGCACUGACGCUGAGGAGCGAAAGCGUGGGGAGCAAACAGG